rnacentral:rRNA from 1 species
AUCUAUUUGUCUUGACCAAAUCUUGUGCCAGCAGUCGCGGCAACACAAGGAAGACAAGUGUUAUUCAUCUUAAAUCGGUUUAAGGGGUACCUAGACGGUAAAUUAGGCCAUAGUAGGAACGUUUUUACUAGAGUUAUACAUGCAUGGGGAUUGUGUCAGUAUUACCAGAGUAGAGAUGAAAUUUUUUGAUACUGUUAAGACUGGUAAAGGCGAAAGCAAACCUUUAUAUAUUAACUGACGUUGAGGGACGAAGGCUUGGGGAGCAAACAGGAUUAGAUACCCUAAUAGUCCAGGCAGAGAAUUAUGAAUGUCAUAGAUUAUAUAUAAUAUAGUCUAUAAAUGAAAGUGUAAGCAUUCCACCUCAAGAGUAAUGUGGCAACGCAGGAACUGAAAUCAUUAGACCGUUUCUGAUACCAACAGUGAAGUAUGUUGUUUAAUUUGUCGGUCCACAAAGAACCUUACCACAAUUUGAAUAUAUUUAAUUUAUAUUUAUUUAUGUUUAUACAUUUAUUUAUACAAGCGUUGCAUUGUUGUCUUCAGUUAAUGUUGUGAGACUUU